rnacentral:rRNA from 1 species
CAUAUUGCACAAUAGGGGAAACCCUGAUGCAGCGACGCCGCGUGAGUGAGGAAGUCUUUCGGUCGGUGAAGCUCUAUCAGCCGGGAAGAAAAUGAGGGUACCUGACUAAGAGGCUCCGGAUAACUACGUUCCAGCCGCCGCGGUAAUACGGAGGGGGCAAGCGUUAUCCGGAUUUACUGGGUGUAAAGGGAGCGUAGGUGGUGCGUCAAGUCAGAUGUGAAAGCCCAGGGCUCAACCCCGGGACUGCAUUUGAAACUGUCGAACUAGAGUGCAGGAGAGGUAAGUGGAAUUCCUAGUGUAGCGGUGAAAUGCGUAGAUAUUAGGAGGAACACCAGUGGCGAAGGCGGCUUACUGGACUGUAACUGACAAUGAGGCUCGAAAGCGUGGGGAGCAAACAGG